CACAAUAAAAUAUGAAGGCUGUACGCGGCUGUGCUCUCGGGCCAGUUUUGCGGAGGCUGAAUUAUUUAUUACCCUUGUCUUUUGCGCACUUGUUGUUUCCUGGGCGGGUUCGCCCGCCACCAGGACCACAUCAUAAACCUUUUUUAUGCAGUUGCAAUCAGCGUCAGUAUAACGAAUGUAAAUCAUUUA
rnacentral:misc_RNA from 1 species